rnacentral:rRNA from 1 species
UACAGAGGUCUCAAGCGUUGUUCGGAUUCAUUGGGCGUAAAGGUGUGUAGGUGGCGCCGUAAGUCAGGUGUGAAAUCUCGGGGCUUAACUCCGAAACUGCAUUUGAUACUGCGGUGCUUGAGGACUGGAGAGGAGACUGGAAUUUAUGGUGUAGCAGUGAAAUGCGUAGAUAUCAUAAGGAAGACCAGUGGCGAAGGCGGGUCUCUGGACAGUUCCUGACACUGAGACACGAAGGCCAGGGGAGCAAAACGGGAUUAGACUACCCUG